rnacentral:rRNA from 1 species
GACGAACGCUGGCGGCGUGCUUAACACAUGCAAGUCGAACGGAAAGGCCCUGCUUUUGUGGGGUGCUCGAGUGGCGAACGGGUGAGUAACACGUGAGUAACCUGCCCUUGACUUUGGGAUAACUUCAGGAAACUGGGGCUAAUACCGGAUAGGAGCUCCUGCUGCAUGGUGGGGGUUGGAACGUUUCGGCGGGUGGGGAUGGACUCGCGGCUUAUCAGCUUGUUGGUGGGGUAGUGGCUUACCAAGGCUUUGACGGGUAGCCGGCCUGAGAGGGUGACCGGCCACAUUGGGACUGAGAUACGGCCCAGACUCCUACGGGAGGCAGCAGUGGGGAAUAUUGCACAAUGGGCGGAAGCCUGAUGCAGCAGCGCCGCGUGCGGGAUGACGGCCUUCGGGUUGUAAACCGCUUUCGCCUGUGACGAAGCGUGAGUGACGGUAAUGGGUAAAGAAGCACCGGCUAACUACGUG